rnacentral:rRNA from 1 species
ACCAGACUCCUACGGGAGGCAGCAGUGGGGGAUAUUGCACAAUGGGGGGAACCCUGAUGCAGCGACGCCGCGUGGGUGAAGGAGCGUUUCGGCGCGUAAAGCCCUAUCGGCAGGGAAGAAGGAGGACGGUACCUGACUAAGAAGCCCCGGCUAACUACGUGCCAGCAGCCGCGGUAAUACGUAGGGGGCAAGCGUUAUCCGGAUUUACUGGGUGUAAAGGGGGCGCAGACGGCAGCGCAAGCCAGGAGUGAAAGCCCGGGGCCCAACCCCGGGACUGCAUUGGAAACUGGCAGGCUGGAGUGUCGGAGAGGCAGGCGGAAUUCCUAGUGUAGCGGUGAAAUGCGUAGAUAUUAGGAGGAACACCAGUGGCGAAGGCGGCCUGCUGGACGAUGACUGACGCUGAGGCUCGAAAGCGUGGGGAGCAAACAGGAUUAGAUACCCCAGUA